rnacentral:rRNA from 1 species
UACGGAGGGUGCAAACGUUGCUCGGAAUUAUUGGGCGUAAAGGGCACGUAGGCGGCUCGGCAAAUCGGUCGUGGAAUCUCGACGCUUACCGUCGAAACGGCGGCCGAAAAUACCGGGCUUGAGGGCGUGAGGGGUCACUGGAACUCCUGGUGAAGCGGUGAAAUGCGUAGAUAUCAGGAGGAACGCCGGAGGCGAAAGCGAGUGACUGGCGCGUUCCUGACGCUGAGGUGCGAAAGCUAGGGGAGCAAACAGG